rnacentral:rRNA from 1 species
ACGGGGUGCAGCAGGCGCGAAAACUUUGCAAUGCGGGAAACCGUGACAAGGGAACUCCGAGUGCCCGUAAAUUCGGGCUGUCCGCCAGUGUAAAAAACUGGUGAAGAAAGGGCCGGGCAAGACCGGUGCCAGCCGCCGCGGUAAUACCGGCGGCUCGAGUGGUGGCCACUAUUACUGGGCUUAAAGCGUUCGUAGCUGGUCUGUUAAGUCUCUGGGGAAAUCUUCCGGCUUAACCGGAAGGCGUCCCAGGGAUACUGGCAGACUAGGGACCGGAAGAGGUGAGGGGUACUCCAGGGGUAGGAGUGAAAUCCUGUAAUCCUUGGGGGACCACCUGUGGCGAAGGCGCCUCACCAGAACGGCUCCGACAGUGAGGAACGAAAGCUGGGGGAGCAAACCGGAUUAGAUACCCGGGUAGUCCCAGCUGUAAACGAUGCGCGUUAGGUGUAUCGGUGACCAUGAGUCACCGAGGUGCCGAAGAGAAAUCGUGAAACGUGCCGCCUGGGAAGUACGGUCGCAAGGCUGAAACUUAAAGGAAUUGGCGGGGGAGCAC